UACGUAGGGAGCAAGCGUUGUCCGGAAUCAUUGGGCGUAAAGCGCGCGUAGGUGGCCUCUUAAGUCUGGUGUGAAAGUCAAAGGCUCAACCUUUGAAAGCCGGUGGAUACUGUGGGGCUAGAGUACGGAAGAGGCGAGUGGAAUUCCUGGUGUAGCGGUGGAAUGCGCAGAUAUCAGGAGGAACACCAAUAGCGAAGGCAGCUCGCUGGGACGUAACUGACACUGAGACGCGAAAGCGUGGGGAGCGAACAGG
rnacentral:rRNA from 1 species